AGUGAACGCUGGCGGUAGGCCUAACACAUGCAAGUCGAACGGCAGCACAGUAAGAGCUUGCUCUUACGGGUGGCGAGUGGCGGACGGGUGAGGAAUACAUCGGAAUCUACUUUUUCGUGGGGGAUAACGUAGGGAAACUUACGCUAAUACCGCAUACGACCUACGGGUGAAAGCAGUGGAUCUUCGGACCUUGCGCGAUUGAAUGAGCCGAUGUCAGAUUAGCUAGUUGGCGGGGUAAAGGCCCACCAAGGCGACGAUCCGUAGCUGGUCUGAGAGGAUGAUCAGCCACAUUGGAACUGAGACACGGUCCAGACUCCUACGGGAGGCAGCAGUGGGGAAUAUUGGACAAUGGGCGCAAGCCUGAUCCAGCCAUACCGCGUGGGUGAAGAAGGCCUUCGGGUUGUAAAGCCCUUUUGUUGGGAAAGAAAAGCAGCAGGUUAAUACCCCGCUGUUCUGACGGUACCCAAAGAAUAAGCACCGGCUAACUUCGUG
rnacentral:rRNA from 1 species